AGAGGACAGUGCACAGCAGGCACGGGUCCCACCGGACGGCACCUUCUCAUUUGCCGCUUAUAUAAGCAGGGCACCCUCAGCACUGCCCUCGCACCCAGCCCAGCACCCACAUGGAGUACGGCCAGGGACAGGGCUGAGCCGGAGCGUGUGCGAUGCGGCUGAGCCCUCUGCGCUCCCAGGGCCCUCUGUGGACAGCAACCACGUGGAGGAGUCUCUGCGGUGGCCCAGACUGGCUUCAGAUUCAUGGCAGUCCUCCUGCCUCAGCCUCCUGCGAGCUGGAAGGACAGGUCCGUGCCACCCUGCCUGGCUGAACUGAACUGAACUUUCAGAACGAAAACUCUGUAGUGAGCUGGGGUGUAGCUCAGUUUGAUCUCCAGCACUGCAAAAGCAAACAGUUAUCUAUAGUGGCCGCUGACCCCAGAUGCUAGACGCCUCGUCCAAGUGUGACAGCCACCAGCUCCGCAGUGAGGACGCGAGCACCCGUGUCUCCCUGUGGCUGGGUGAGAGGUCUACGCCUGCAAUCUCAGCUCAGCGAGGUCCCGCGCCUGCUGGCAGGUAAAGCUCUCGGAGCGCACCAUCUGCCCUGCACCUGCCUGAAAGAAGUAUUUCCCCUGCUGUGGAGACGCCCUGCUGAUGACUUCACUUGAGAUCUACACUGAAAACGCCAAAUCACACCUCCAACUUAAAAACAUCUGACAUAACUUAGCCCCAAGCUGCACAGCAACUUCAUUUUAUUGUACUUUAUUUUUUCUCUGUUCUGGGGAUCGAUCCACAACCUCGUGCUUGCCAGGCAGGCACUGUGCUGCUACGCUAUCCGGCAAUUUUAAGAAAUUAGUUAUUUUUUUAGCCAUGCAUGGUGGCACACACCUGUGAUCCCAGCACUUGGGAGGCAGAAGCAGAAAAAUCUCCACGAUUUCGAGGCCAGCCUGGGCUUUCUAGUAAGGUUCAAGUGCACACUGAACUACAUAGAGAGACCCUGCCUCCAAAAAACAGACAAAAAUUACUUACAGUCCUUUCAAUAAUACUUUACUUCAAAGCUUAAAGAACUUUUUGUUUGUUUAUUUUGGGAUGCUGGAGGUUAAACCAGGCACCUCCUGCUUGUCAGCAAAACCCUCUGCUGACCCCUGGGGAUUCUCACUGAACUGUAGUUGAAAUUGUUUGGUGACUUCUGGUCAAUUUUUCUCACAGAGGUUUACUCAAAGUUGUUGAUGGCCUGUUUUGUUUUCUUUUAUUGCUUCCAGCUGGUUUUAAAAACAUGCUAUUGAAUGGAAGUAUGCUAAUCCUUGCUGGGUCUUCGCUUUGAAGUUAUUUCUGAAAAAUAUUCUUGAAAGCAAUCUCGAUUUGUGGCUAAGAAUAUUUAUAACCUCUAGAUCCCUUUGCAGAAGAGAGUGGGAAAGUGCUGGUCCACUCCCUUCUAAGCAGAAAGCCACCAGGCUUCUGUGAAUUCACUGACUGCUGCUAGGAGCUCAAAGGACAAAGUGGCCGGAUGUGUUCAUGGCACAGGGUGGCAGACUGCGCUAGUGCAGGGUGACCACCCUCCCGGUGUGACUGCAGGCUUUGCAGCCUGCGAUUACCGAAGCUGCUCCCCUGUACCCUAACUGUGACUCUCAGUUUGGUAAUAUAAUUUUUAUUACAGAGGCUCUCCAUCCAAGAACUUUAGAGAUCGGGAUUUCUGCAGUCACUAUUUUGUUUUGAUAUUAGAGAACAGGAAUUUCAUUUUGCGUUGAUUAGAGAUAAACUACCUUAGGGAGCGCCUUGGUUUUACUGGGUUGAUUGAUUGAAUGAGACAGGGUCUCGCUCUGUAGUUCUGUCUGGCCCUGAACUUACUACAUAGCACAAGCUGGCAUCAAACUCAUAGCAAUCCUCCUGCCUCAGCCUCCUGUGUGCCUGCAACUUAGUUGUUCUUAUCAAACCUUUUCCCAUGAAUUUGCUUUUGAGUGGUUAAUGUUUCAUUAGAAAGUGUGCUCCCAAGAUCUCUCUUUCAUUUUUAUUUCCAUCUUGUGUGGCUCCCCUGGCAUGAGGGCAAGUGCACAGGCUGUGAGCCGCGUCUGCAUUUGCACUGACACAAAGGCGAGGGGCAUAGGAGACCCCCCAAAAUAUUUCUCUAGGAGGCCAGUUUCUUUCUCUUGCAUUUCUUGGAUUUAAGCACUGGGUUUUUGGGAUCUCACGAGUGAUAAAGGUUAAAAGGUAAAAAGGGUUAGAAGGCGCCAUAUCUGCAUUCAGGCGUCCACAGACGGGCAGGUUGUGUUGGGGAAGAGCUUGGUCCUGUGACAGAGGGUCCCCAGCCGACCUCUGUCUCUCCUGCAGCGUCCGACCCCGUCUUCUCUGUGCUUGGUGGGCGAAGGCCAGCCGCCUUAAUGGGGGUGAUGAAUACUUUUCUGUUGAUCUGCUCUGCAGUCUGUGAUUUGAUUUCUUGAUACAUGGAUAAAUAUUUUGAAGCUUUUGCCUCCGAACACCUGGCUACCUUGUGAUUCUGAUGAUAGUAAAAAGACAA